rnacentral:rRNA from 1 species
GACAGAGGUGCCAAGCGUUAGGCGGAAUCACUGGGCUUAAAGCGUGUGUAGGCGGGUGCCUAAGUAACUUGUGAAAUCCCACGGCUCAACCGUGGAACGGCUGGGUAUACUGGGUGCCUUGGGUCAUCCAGGGGUUGCCGGAACAAAUGGUGGAGCGGUGAAAUGCGUAGAUAUCAGGAGGAACACCGAUGGCGAAGGCAGCUCGCUGGGACGGUACUGACGCUGAGGCGCGAAAGCGUGGGGAGCAAACAGG